UACGUAGGGUGCGAGCGUUGUCCGGAAUUAUUGGGCGUAAAGAGCUCGUAGGCGGUUUGUCGCGUCUGCUGUGAAAACCCGAGGCUCAACCUCGGGCCUGCAGUGGGUACGGGCAGACUAGAGUGCGGUAGGGGAGAUUGGAAUUCCUGGUGUAGCGGUGGAAUGCGCAGAUAUCAGGAGGAACACCGAUGGCGAAGGCAGAUCUCUGGGCCGUAACUGACGCUGAGGAGCGAAAGCAUGGGGAGCGAACAGG
rnacentral:rRNA from 1 species